AGCAGUGUGGCUUAGUAGCAAGAGCAUGGGCUUGGGAAUCAGAGGACUUGGGUUCUAAUCCCAGCUCUACCA
rnacentral:tRNA from 1 species